rnacentral:rRNA from 1 species
GAUGAACGCUGGCGGCGUGCCUAAUACAUGCAAGUCGAGCGAAUGGAUUAAGAGCUUGCUCUUAUGAAGUUAGCGGCGGACGGGUGAGUAACACGUGGGUAACCUGCCCAUAAGACUGGGAUAACUCCGGGAAACCGGGGCUAAUACCGGAUAACAUUUUGAACCGCAUGGUUCGAAAUUGAAAGGCGGCUUCGGCUGUCACUUAUGGAUGGACCCGCGUCGCAUUAGCUAGUGGGUGAGGUGACGGCUCACCAAGGCAACGAGUCGUAGCCGACCGUGGGAGGUGGUAGGCCAACACUGGGACUGAGACCAGGCCAAACCCCCAAGGGGAGGAAGCAGUGGGAAAUUUCCGGAAAUGACGAAAGGCCGAAGGGGGAACGGUGGGGUGAGUGAUAAGGGGUUUGGGUUCUUAAACUCCUUUGUUAGGGAAGAACAAGUGCUAGUUGAAUAAGCUGGCACCUUGACGGUACCUAACCAGAAAGCCACGGCUGACUACGUGCCAGCCGCCGCAGUAA